UACGGGGGGAGUAAGCGUUGUUCGGAUUUACUGGGCGUAGAGGGCGCGUAGGCGGCCACCGCAAGUCGACUGUGAAAUCUCCGGGCUUAACCCGGAAAGGUCAGCCGAUACUGCGGGGCUAGAGUGCAGAAGGGGCAACUGGAAUUCUCGGUGUAGCGGUGAAAUGCGUAGAUAUCGAGAGGAACACCUGCGGCGAAGGCGGGUUGCUGGGCUGACACUGACGCUGAGGCGCGAAAGCUAGGGGAGCGAACGGG
rnacentral:rRNA from 1 species